UUCCCUGUGCUCAAACCUGAAGCUUUCCAUGUUGUCAUAGCUGAACCGGUUCAAUCAUCGCCAGUGAACUGUCAGUGAGUUGGAGAACAUAUCUACUAUCACUUGGAAUCUGAAGAAUCCUUUGCGUGACAGCGCCUAGUAUAAGUGCGUUUCAAAAGAACAAACGCUCCCUCUGGUGAUAUGGGUGUAAAAAUGCUGCAGUGCUUUCCUUUCUACAGACGCUGCAAGGAGAGGUGCAAAAGACAGUGUCCUCCUGAGACGGCAGUAGCAAGUGAAGAGGUGAAACCUCGGCUGUGUUCCACUACCUCCUGGGGCAGCGAAGGGGACAGCGGCAGCAGUCUGAGUUGCCCACAGGCCUAUUUUUCCCACAAGGCUCGGCUCUCACUGAGACACCAGAUGGAUAGCAACAUCAAUGCAGUGGAUGCCACAUACUAACUAUGUCUGCAGGCGGUCUCUGGAGAAUCCUCGAAAGUAAACUUCAGAUUUACAGCCCCAGUCCAGUUUAAGUCCCUUAUUGGAGAUUGAGCCAUUAAGAACAAGAAACAUGGAAGUUUGCCUCUUCUUGCACGCCUAUAGACACUCAUGAGCGUCAGCUGUAUGCAUUGUAAUAACAAUGUCAAGAUAAGUGUCUGAAUUCCGGUACAGCAAUGAGUGUAAAAUGGUACAGCUGAGUGUAAUUUGGUGAAAGGGAUAAUUUAAAACACUCUUAAGAGUGAUGUUUACAUGAUAACCAGUAAGUGCUUUUUUUCUAGCCUGUAGCAUUUUUCCUCCACAGCUUCUGCUAUACAUGCAUCUACAUUAUCUCUACUGGAUGCUGGUUUUAUCUGAGGAGACGCUGACAUCUUAAUGCAAUUGAGUUUUUGAACCAGAUAUAAAUUCGUUCAGGAUUUUUGAUGAAUAGCAGUGUACCUAAUAAAAUCAACCGCGCUUUGCCUUGCUGGUCAUAAAUUCAGUGUGUACUGUGAAGCAACAGAAUGUUUUUUUUUUCUUCACAUUAACAGAAAGGAAGAUUUAAAAGCUUAUUUUGCUGUCUAUGUAAGUGCCAUUUUCUCUGCCUUGCAGCUGCAUCAGUGUCCAUUAACAGAGUGUCCAAAACACCAACUUUAAUUUCAUUUUUUAUUAUGUAUAGAUUUCAGGGCUUUUUAAAAUAUGCCCUGACCAUUAACCAAUUCUGCUUGAGGGAUGUUUUUGGAACAAUUCUAAAAAAGAUGGUUGUUUCAUGGACUUAAUGUAAGUCAAAAUUUUACCAACUAAUAUAUUAAUAUGAAGAUGGCCCAGUUUCUUCUUAUUGCAUGUAUAAAACUAGUCAAAAGAAUGGAGAUGUUUGUCAUGAUCCACUCAUUGCUUCUGUUACGACAUGUUUGAAAAAACAGGAUUUACAUGCUAAUGAUGUGUAUCUGGACUUCUUCACUUUGUUGGGUGCACAUGUAUUAACAUUUGUUUUUUAAAUGUUAAAAGUGGAUUUUUACACUCUAACCCAGUAAAAAAACAGAAUUCACAAGACACUGUUACACCUUUGAAGUCACAAUAUGAAAGAGAAGAUAUUUUUGGUAUGUUUUGUAUGCAAUGUGUAAAUCAAUUUUAUAUAAAAAAAAUGUAACAAGUAAAAAUACAGCAAACUAAAUUAUAGUAGAAUUAAAAGAGCACGUCUUGUUGCUUUCACUGAUGAUUGUAAAAAAUAAAAAUAAUAAAAAAUGUUCUUCAAAAAGAAA